rnacentral:rRNA from 1 species
CCUACGGGCGGCAGCAGUAGGGAAUAUUGCUCAAUGGGGGAAACCCUGAAGCAGCAACGCCGCGUGGAGGAUGAAGGUUUUCGGAUUGUAAACUCCUUUUGUUAGAGAAGAUAAUGACGGUAUCUAACGAAUAAGCACCGGCUAACUCCGUGCCAGCAGCCGCGGUAAUACGGAGGGUGCAAGCGUUACUCGGAAUCACCGGGCGUAAAGAGCGCGUAGGUGGGAUAGCAAGUCAGAUGUGAAAUCCUAUGGCUUAACCAUAAAACUGCAUUUGAAACUGUUAUUCUAGAGUAUGGGGGAGGUAGGUGGAAUUCUUGGUGUAGGGGUAAAAUGCGUAGAGAUCAAGAGGAAUACUGAUUGCGAAGGCGACCUGCUAGAACAUAACUGACGCUGAUGCGCGAAAGCGUGGGGAGCAAACAGGAUUAGAUACCCGAGUAGUC